rnacentral:rRNA from 1 species
GAUGAACGCUGGCGGUAUGCUUAACACAUGCAAGUCGAACGGACUCUUCGGAGUUAGUGGCGGACGGGUGAGUAACGCGUGAGAAUCUGGCUUUGGGUUCGGGACAACCACUGGAAACGGUGGCUAAUACCGGAUGUGCCGAGAGGUAAAAGAGAAAUUGCCUGAGGAUGAGCUCGCGUCUGAUUAGCUAGUUGGUGAGGUAAAGGCUCACCAAGGCAGCGAUCAGUAGCUGGUCUGAGAGGAUGACCAGCCACACUGGGACUGAGACACGGCCCAGACUCCUACGGGAGGCAGCAGUGGGGAAUUUUCCGCAAUGGGCGAAAGGCUGACGGAGCAAUACCGCGUGAGGGAAGAAGGCUCUUGGGUUGUAAACCUCUUUUCUUAGGGAAGAACAAAAUGACGGUAGCUAAGGAAUCAGCAUCGGCUAACUCCGUG